rnacentral:misc_RNA from 1 species
GAAAUGCGAUAAGUAAUGUGAAUUGCAGAAUUCCGUGAAUCAUCGAAUCUUUGAACGCACAUUGCGCCCUCUGGCAUUCCGGGGGGCAUGCCUGUCCGAGCGUCAUUACGCACCCUCAAGCCCGGCUUGUGUGAUGGGCCCCGGCGUCUCGUUCGCGAGACGGGCCCGAAAGGCAGCGGCGGCGUCCGUGGGACCCUCGGUGCAACGAGCUUCUAAGGAGCACGCGUCGAGUUUCAAGGACCUUCCGGGCCGGUCUCUCCUCAUGUUAUCACAAGGUUGACCUCGGAUCAGGUAGGGAUACCCGCUGAACUUAAGC